UACGUAGGGUGCGAGCGUUAUCCGGAAUGAUUGGGCGUAAAGCGUCUGUAGGUGGCUUUUUAAGUCCGCCGUCAAAUCCCAGGGCUCAACUCUGGACAGGCGGUGGAAACUACCAAGCUGGAGUACGGUAGGGGCAGAGGGAAUUUCCGGUGUAGCGGUGAAAUGCGUAGAGAUCGGAAAGAACACCAACGGCGAAAGCAGUCUGCUGGGCCGACACUGACACUGAGAGACGAAAGCGAGGGGAGCGAAUGGG
rnacentral:rRNA from 1 species